rnacentral:rRNA from 1 species
GCAUAUCAAUAAGCGCAGGAAAAGAAACCAACAGGGAUUGCCUCAGUAACGGCGAGUGAAGCGGCAACAGCUCAAAUUUAAAAUCUGGCCUCUUGGGGUCCGAGUUGUAAUUUGUAGAGGAUGUUUUGGGUACCGCCCCGGUUUAAAUUUCUUGGAACAGAAUGUCAAAGAGGGUGAGAAUCCCGUCUUGGACCGGCGGUAGGGCCUGUGUAAAACUCCUUCGACGAGUCGAGUUGUUUGGGAAUGCAGCUCAAAAUGGGUGGUAAAUUUCAUCUAAAGCUAAAUAUUGGCCAGAGACCGAUAGCGCACAAGUAGAGUGAUCGAAAGAUGAAAAGCACUUUGAAAAGAGAGUUAAACAGUAUGUGAAAUUGUUGAAAGGGAAGCGCUUGCAACCAGACUUGAGCGCGGCGGUUCCCCCAGCCUUUUGGCUGGGUUACUCCGUCGUGUCCAGGCCAACAUCGGUUCUGGGGGUCGGUCAAAGGCCUUGGGAAUGUAUCUACCUACGGGUAGACUUAUAGACCAGGGUGUCAUGCGGCCUCCCGGGACCGAGGAACGCGCUUCGGCUCGGAUGUUGGCGUAAUGGUUGUCAGCGACCCGUCUUGAAACACGGACCAAGGAGUCUAACAUCUAUGCGAGUGUUUGGGUGUCAAACCCGGAACGCGGAAUGAAAGUGAACGGAGGUAGGAAGCUUCGGCUGCACUAUCGACCGAUCCUGAAGUUUACGGAUGGAUUUGAGUAAGAGCAUAGCUGUUGGGACCCGAAAGAUGGUGAACUAUGCCUGAAUAGGGUGAAGCCAGAGGAAACUCUGGUGGAGGCUCGCAGCGGUUCUGACGUGCAAAUCGAUCGUCAAAUUUGGGUAUAGGGGCGAAAGACUAAUCGAACCAUCUGGUAGCUGGUUCCUGCC